rnacentral:rRNA from 1 species
UCGGUGUGAGAUGGACCCGCGUUGGAUUAGCUAGUUGGCAGGGUAACGGCCUACCAAGGCGACGAUCCAUAGCCGGCCUGAGAGGGUGAACGGCCACAUUGGGACUGAGACACGGCCCAAACUCCUACGGGAGGCAGCAGUGGGGAAUAUUGCACAAUGGGGGAAAUCCUGAUGCAGCGACGCCGCGUGAGUGAAGAAGUAUUUCGGUAUGUAAAGCUCUAUCAGCAGGGAAGAAAAUGACGGUACCUGACUAAGAAGCCCCGGCUAACUACGUGCCAGCAGCCGCGGUAAUACGUAGGGGGCAAGCGUUAUCCGGAUUUACUGGGUGUAAAGGGAGCGUAGACGGCUAAGCAAGUCAGAAGUGAAAGGCUGGGGCUCAACCCCGGGACUGCUUUUGAAACUGUUUAGCUAGAGUGCUGGAGAGGUAAGCGGAAUUCCUAGUGUAGCGGUGAAAUGCGUAGAUAUUA